CUCAAGGCUAUAGCCCACCCGUUUUUGUGGCCUUUUUCCGCUGGAUGAACUUGGCGCCCCGGCCUUCCGGCGGUUAAUUUUGGGCGCGGCUUUGCCCGCAGCCUAUUUUUGGCACACGGAGGCGCCUCGCAAAGUCUUGAGCCAUUACGAGUCCGGCGGACGAAGUUGGCGCGCCCCACCCCCGAAGGCUAUAGCCCACCCGUUUUUGUGGCCUUUUUCCGCUGGACGAGCUUGGCGCCCCAGCCUUCGGGCGUUUAUUUUAGGGUACGGCUGUGCCCGCGGCCUAUUUUUGUCACACGGAGGCGCCUGGCAAAGUCUCGCGCCAUUCCGAGUCCGGCGGACGAAGUUGGCCAGCCCCACCCCCCAAGGCUAUAGCCCACCCGUUUUUGUGGCCUUCUGGCGGUUAUUUUUGGGCGCGGCUCUGCCCGCGGCCUAUUGUUGGAACACGGAGGCCCCUCCCAAAGUCUCGCGGCAUUCCGAGACCGGCGGACGAAAUUGGCCAGCCGCGCCCACCAAGGCUAUAGCCCACCCGUUUUUGUGGCCUCUUUCCGCUGCACGAACUUGGCGCCCCGGCCUUCGGGCGGUUAUUUUUGGGCGCGGCUCUGCCCGCGGCAUAU
rnacentral:lncRNA from 1 species